rnacentral:rRNA from 1 species
AUGGAAGUGAAUAAGGGCGUAUGGGGGAUGCCUUGGCUCCCGGGGGCGACGAAGGACGUGGUAAGCUGCGAAAAAGCGCGGGGAGGUGCAAACGACCGUUAAUCCGCGCGUGUCCGAAUGGGGAAACCCCAC